UCUACGGGAGGCAGCAGUGGGGAAUAUUGGACAAUGGGCGCAAGCCUGAUCCAGCAAUGCCGCGUGAGUGAUGAAGGCCUUCGGGUUGUAAAGCUCUUUCGCACGCGACGAUGAUGACGGUAGCGUGAGAAGAAGCCCCGGCUAACUUCGUGCCAGCAGCCGCGGUAAUA
rnacentral:rRNA from 1 species